CCUCUAUGCUCUUGAGGUUUUUAUUUCUUCAAGACAAGAGCAAGGAAAUGUGUGUUUCUGCUGAGUAAAGAGUAGAAAAUUAAAAGGAAAAAAAAAAAUGCCUGGGAUUUGUGCUGAAGCAGCUCGCGCUGGGCAGUUUCUGUGCAUGCUGGUUUUUUUUAAAAAAGCAGCUUUCUGAACUCUGAGAAGUAAGGUCAUCAUAGGAAGCAGAGGCACCGGCCCCUUCUUGGCAGAGAAAUGCCCUGGGAACGAGCACAGGGCUGCGCUGGUGGGAUCACAAGCAGAUUUAGGGCUUGCCUUCUCCCUUCCUCCCCUCUCUGCUGCUCCAUAAGUUACUUUUACGGCUCUCAGCUGUGAGCCUACCGCAGUCGUUUGGGAAAGCACAGCUUUGCGCUGAUGUUAAUGGGUCUUUAAAUCAGAGGCGCAGCUGAAGGGGUGAAUUUGCCAAAUGGCUCCUCGCUUCUCCUUCCAGGAAGGGCUGGGCUGUGGGUCUGCAGCCCAGCGUGGCCGAAAUUCAGAAAGCUCACGUGCAGAGCCUGGAGAUGCAAUAACCCUCCAAAUCUCCCAGCACGGGAGCUGGUAGAGCCCUUUGCACGCAGGACUCCCAGCUCCUGACCUGCUCAGAAGAAACCCAUCGCUUCCUGGCUCCUUUUCCUUAUCUUACAGAAGAAAAGGAUGUUUUCCAGGCCUGCUGCAGACCGUGGAGGAGGCAGACAACAUUUUAACCCAGGCUGAGGAAAUGACAAAGCACUAACUCCCCUGCAAGGAUAGGGCAGCUUUCUCACCGAGCAGCAAAGGCUGACGUGGGCUGGUUGGUUGACUAUCAGGAGAGGCACAGAAAAAUCAAGUGAAGAUGCAAACACCUCCAGUUCUGGAAGAGUUUGGCACCUGGAGGUGGGGUUUGACCUCUGCUGUAUGACCUCUGCAGCAUGAAUUACCUGGAGAACCCCAUCCCUCGGUGCUGGGCUCAGCUCCUGCUUGGAAGGUGUAAAUGCAGCCUACGGCCUGCAAACAGAAACCAGUGUCUGUCUGCUCCCAAAAUUAUGGGUGGGAGGAGGAACUUUCCUCACUUGGACUGGGGUUUGGGGUGAUGGUCAGUAUUUUUCUCCCAUGGCAGCAGCACGACAACACCAACAGGGGUCUGGCUCCAUUUUUUGAGCCAAAACCCUGCCCACAGGAGAUGUCCCCUCCUGCCCGAUGAGUUUUGUCCCCUUUCCUGGCCCCGUGGUGCACCAACAGCGCAGGUCAUGGGACGACCUGCCAUGGGAGCACACCUACGGCAUCUCGCUGCGGUCCAGUCUCACCUUUUAUUUUUUUUCGGAGAGGGCAGAUUAUGACCAUAAAAGGGAAGAACGGAAUAUUGGGUGGGGAGCCCUGCCUCGUUUGGCCGAGCACCAAUUCGCGACGGCUUCGGGGGAAAUAACCAGAUUGGAGUCAUUUUCCUCUCCCCCCCUGGCCGAGAGUGAAAACCAUGCGACAAAACCGUGUGGUUCACCAUUGAAACCAGAGCAGGACUUUUUUGUGUCGGCACCUCCUGUUGUUCUUGGUUCCACCUGCGUGAAACUGCAGCAAGGCCCUCACUUCUGCCUGGGCAUGGCUGCACGGAGCCGCCGGUUCCCAUAAAACCAGCUGGUGCUAUCUAGGGUGACAUCUCCCAGUGGUGAACUGGGGGGGGUCUGGUGGUUGGGUUGGCCAGGAACCACAACCUGGUGGCCUUGGGAGUUGGGAGAGCCCAUGAACCUUCUUCUUGUGCUUGUGUGUCCAUAUCUCCUGUUCUAAAACUGACAGAACAAAUUCCUUUCGUGCUUGAACAUCCCUUCCACCCAGCUGCCUUGUCACGGCCCUCGCCAGAUCAUUUCUGUGGUUAAAACUAGAACUUUAAUCUCCUGAGGUAUUCACCUAAAAUGUCCCACCGGCACUGAAUUUCAGCAUUUAAUACACCUGAUUAAAAGGAUAAGAGGGUUUCCUGGAAACCUUGACAGCCUUGAGUUGGGAGCAGAUGUUGGCGGCCAGCAAAGCCCUUGUAAGCAAUAAACCCUUUUUCCUGUUUAAUGAUUACCCUUCGAAAUCUCACGGCCGACUGAGAGCAUUUGUGACCGGGAGC